rnacentral:tRNA from 1 species
GCGGGCGUGGCGGAAUUGGCAGACGCACCAGAUUUAGGUUCUGGCGUGGAGACACGUGAAGGUUCAAGUCCUUUCGCCCGCACCA